rnacentral:rRNA from 1 species
UACAGAGGGUGCGAGCGUUGUCCGGAAUCACUGGGCGUAAAGGGCGCGUAGGCGGCCUGAUAAGUAGGGGGUGAAACCCUCAGGCUCAACCUGGGGACGCCACUCGAUACUGCUGUGGCUAGAGUCCAGUAGAGGAGUGUGGAAUUCCCGGUGUAGCGGUGAAAUGCGCAGAUAUCGGGAGGAACACCAACGGCGAAGGCAGCACUCUGGGCUGGAACUGACGCUGAGGAGCGAAAGCGUGGGUAGCAAACAGG